rnacentral:rRNA from 1 species
AAAACCAUAAACGACUCUCGGCAACGGAUAUCUCGGCUCACGCAUCGAUGAAGAACGUAGCAAAAUGCGAUACUUGGUGUGAAUUGCAGAAUCCCGUGAACCAUCGAGUUUUUGAACGCAAGUUGCGCCCGAAGCCAUUCGGCCGAGGGCACGUCUGCCUGGGC